rnacentral:rRNA from 1 species
AGAGUUUGAUCAUGGCUCAGAACGAACGCUGGCGGCAGGCUUAACACAUGCAAGUCGAACGAUCCCUUCGGGGAUAGUGGCAGACGGGUGAGUAACGCGUGGGAACCUACCUUUAGGUACGGAACAACAGUUGGAAACUUCAGCUAAUACCGUAUACGUCCUUCGGGAGAAAGAUUUAUCGGAGUUGGAUGAGCCCGCGUUGGAUUAGCUAGUUGGUGGGGUAAUGGCCUACCAAGGCGACGAUCCAUAGCUGGUCUGAGAGGAUGAUCAGCCACACUGGGACUGAGACACGGCCCAGACUCCUACGGGAGGCAGCAGUGGGGAAUAUUGGACAAUGGGCGCAAGCCUGAUCCAGCCAUGCCGCGUGAGUGAUGAAGGCCCUAGGGUUGUAAAGCUCUUUCAACGGUGAAGAUAAUGACGGUAACCGUAGAAGAAGCCCCGGCUAACUUCGUGCCAGCAGCCGCGGUAAUAC